AACAGGGAGACAGAUGAUCCUGCCACAAAGCCAGGGAGUUGAGGCAGUGGGCAGGGCGGCCACAGCCUCCCAGGCAGCCCUGCGCAGUCCUGGCGGCCAGAGACGGCCGGCAAGGAGGCUGCUGGGAAUGCACAGACGCUGCUGCGCUGAUUUCAGAGACCCAGAGGAUGGGAGAAAAGCAGCAUCUGAUGUUAAAGUGGAGGCAUUCCUUCCAUCCUUGACUCGGUCAACUUGAUUACGGAACCCUAACACAGGGUGAGCCUUCUGCCCUGGGAAGCUUGGCAGUGCACUGAACACCCUAUGAGCUGAAUCUUCACAUCAGCCUGUGAGACAGGUCCUGCUGCAGAGGAGCUCGGGCUUAGAGAGAGAACACGCGAGGCCGAGUCCACAGCGGCACUUGGCAGGGUUUGGACUCAAGUCCAGACUGUCUCUCUCUGGCCUGGGCUGGUGACCCGCACUGUCUUCUCUCCUCACUCUGAGGAGAGCCUCACUCUGUGGACACCGCAGACACCUGCUCACCCUUCCGAUUGGCUCUCUGUGAACAUUGUAGAUACUACCUAUCCUUCUGAUUGGCUCUCUGGAUGCUGCGGUCACCUGCCCACCCUUCCAAUUGGCCUUCUGUGGAUGUUGUGGAUGCCUGCUCACCCUUCUGAUUGGCUCUCUGUGGACACUGUGGACACCUGCCCACCCUUCCGAUUGGCUUUCUGUGGACUUUGUGAACACCUGCUCACUCUUUCAGUUGGCUCUCUGUGGAGAUUGCAGACACCUGUCCACUCUUCCGACUGGUUCUCUGUGGACAGUGCGGACACCUGCCCACCCUUCCAAUUGGCUGUCGGAAGCUCUGACUGUUCCCUCACAUGAAAUGAUGUCAUCAUGGAAUUGGAAAACAGCCCUGAACCCACA
rnacentral:lncRNA from 10 species